AACGAACGCUGGCGGCAGGCUUAACACAUGCAAGUCGAACGCCCCGCAAGGGAGUGGCAGACGGGUGAGUAACGCGUGGGAAUCUACCCAACCCUGCGGAAUAGCUCUGGGAAACUGGAAUUAAUACCGCAUACGCCCUACGGGGGAAAGAUUUAUCGGGGAUGGAUGAGCCCGCGUUGGAUUAGCUAGUUGGUGGGGUAAAGGCCUACCAAGGCGACGAUCCAUAGCUGGUCUGAGAGGAUGAUCAGCCACAUUGGGACUGAGACACGGCCCAAACUCCUACGGGAGGCAGCAGUGGGGAAUAUUGGACAAUGGGCGCAAGCCUGAUCCAGCCAUGCCGCGUGAGUGAUGAAGGCCUUAGGGUUGUAAAGCUCUUUCACCGGUGAAGAUAAUGACGGUAACCGGAGAAGAAGCCCCGGCUAACUUCGUGCCAGCCGCCGCCGCGGUAA
rnacentral:rRNA from 1 species